rnacentral:rRNA from 1 species
AUACGUAGGUGGCAAGCGUUGUCCGGAAUUACUGGGUGUAAAGGGAGCGCAGGCGGGGGAGCAAGUCAGCUGUGAAAUGCAUGGGCUUAACCGAUGAACUGCAGUUGAAACUGUUCUUCUUGAGUGCAGUAGAGGUUGGCGGAAUUUCGAGUGUAGCGGUGAAAUGCGUAGAUAUUCGGAGGAACACCGGUGGCGAAGGCGGCCAGCUGGGCUUUUACUGACUCUGAGGCUCGAAAGUGUGGGGAGCGAACAGGAUUAGAUACCCUGGUAGUCCACACUGUAAACGAUGAUUGCUAGGUGUGGGGGGUCUGCCCCCUUCUGUGCCGCAGCUAACGCAAUAAGCAAUCCACCUGGGGAGUACGGCCGCAAGGCUGAAACUCAAAGGAAUUGACGGGG